UUGUGUGUUUUUUUUCAUUUCGCCUCUGUAGCUACCAGGUUCCCUUCCACUCCCUCUCGUUCCCUUGUCAUUCCCAACAGGCAACCAGAACAGAGUCGAGAGAGAGAUUCAUGGCGACUCGGUGGUUCCCUAUCCGCUCGAUUCGCUAGGCUGGCCGGCGUUCUCCCUCCGGCUGCUUCACUCCCGUCCGGCUGCCCACCCCCUCCUGCUCCCCCGCUGUUCGCGCCGUUAGUCUGCAGCAUCUCUCGACCGCCGCACCCACCCCCGGCCUCUAUUUCUGCCUCGGCGACUUCGCUGCUCUUUGUGAUUCGGGGAUUUCUUCUCUAAUUCUCAGUGGGUUUUCACUGUAAUUCCGCUUAUUAGCUGUAAUAUCCAAUUGGAUUUACAGCGUAAAUCAAGUUGCACUGAUAUCGUCAGUGGUUUUAGUGUAAUUGACGGUAAUUCUUAUUUUUGGAUCUUUAGUGUAUUUUAGUGGGUCUUUUUACAGUGUAAUCCUUACUGGAAUUUACACUGGAAUUUGUACUGUUUUGUUUCAUCUUCUGUAACUUACAGUCUAUAUUAAUCUGAAUACCUGUGUACUUACCGUCUAAGUUAAUGUACAUUAACCCUGUAACUUACUAUCCCAUUCCCAGUCUAUUUUUCAGUGUAUGUACACUGUAAAGUCAUUUGGAUUCUAUGUAAUUACACCGUAAUGUUAGUGUACUUACACUCAAUUUCCCUGUGUAAUUUUAUUGAAUUUUAUUUGUAAUUGUAAUGAUUUACAUAUGUAAUUACAGUCUAAGUUAAUGUACAUUUUUAACCCUGUAACUUACUAUCCUAUGUACUGUAAUUUCCAAUCUAUUUUCAGUAUUUACACAGGAAGGUCAGAGUAAUUUACAACCAAGUUAUAAUGUGACAAAAUAUCUCAGUAAUCUCUCAAGAUAUGUUGAUUUCUGUACUUUUUUGAGUGUAAGUACAAUGCGUAGCUUCAGAAAUUUGGACCAUACAUCUAGGUGUUUUUUUCUACUCAAGACUUAAAUUUUUGUACUGUGUGCAUAUGACAGUUACUGGGGUCUAAUAGCAAGAGAAUUAAGUCGGUCAUUUUGGCUUCAUCUUACAUGAAGGAGUGCAUCUUCAUCUUGCUGGUAUGACUUCUUGAUGCUGAAAUUUUCGAAGAUAAUGAAAGCACUCAGUGGUGUUUGUUAGCAAGUGUACUCUACUUAUUUUCCUAUUUUCACUGCACUUAUAAGCUGUUUACAGUGUAAAAAGUUGAGAUGCAGUUUUACAGGCAUGAUUUAAGACGAUUACUGUUUUUUACACUGUAAAUCUACUAUAAAAUGUCAUUGUAACUUGUAGUAAUUUACUAUGUAAUCCUAUUUGUAAAUUACAUUGUAAUUGUCACUGGAACAAUGGCUUUUCAUUGUAAUUCUACCGUAAAUUAGCAUUGUAAAUUUGCGGUAACUGUACUGUGAAUUAUAUUUUUAAAUCUACUGCAAUUGUACUGUAAAAGUCACUAUAAUUUGCUAAAUUGAUCACUGCUCACAGUAAUUUGAUUAAUCUUUUGUAGAGUUCCUGUUUUAUGUUUCCGGUACCGUGUAAAGGGGGAAUUUGAUCAUGCCUUUUCAUGCCAAUGUUGUUCCCAUGACCUCAUUCUCCUUUUCUAAUCUGCUUUUCUUAAUUUCCUGCAAUGUAAUGCUAGUUUUUCCUCUGUUUUUCAUGUCCACGUUUCGUGUAAGUAGGAGAGGGAACUGUUCACAGGGAGGUGGAGAAGAUUGUCAGGUGAGGAUCUCUUACCUGUGCAUCCAUGAUUUUCUCCAGGUUUGCCCUCUGGAUCUUGGAGGAAUUCCCCCGGUGAUUUCUUUUUUGAAUGGGUGGACAAGCACAUCGACACAUUCAGGGGACAGGAACAAAACGGAGCACAUGUGACACUAGUUAAACUCUGUGUUGCCAAAAACUAUGACUGGAAACGAAUUGGAUUUCAGACAGUUCCAAAAACACAUAUCAUCUUGGAUUUAUUAGUGGAUUUACAGUGUCUUUUUAGUGGA